GGUUCUGACUAGAGAAGUCAUGCCAAGGUUUGGAAUUCCGUCACUAACUAGCUCAGGCGAAAGGGCUGCGUCUAUUCAGAAAACACUCAAACAAGUGAUUUAACAUCUGCAUGUCAAACAAAGAUUAGGCUGUGUCUACAUUCCUCAAACCACAAGGUAUGGUGGAGAGAGGAAUCGGACGCUUAAGACAAAGAUUAACAAAAUUAAAUUAGAGUACUAAAUUAAAGGACUAAUGCAUUACGACUGACACUAAUGAGUUAUCGCAUGAAAAACUAACAGAACGACGCAUCUAACCCCGCAUGAAAUGCUUACGGGUCGACCCAUGCCUUCACCUGUCAUUCGAGGGCCUCACAAAGGACCUCCAUUGGAACAAUUGGAAACUGAGUUAAGACGCUAUAUGGGACAACUAACUGGCAUACACAGGCUUAUUUUUCAACAAGAGAAAGGCAGAGUUCCAGAGUUGGAGAAGGAGCCACCACUUGGUCACCGCCAGGUGACCAAGUGUACCUCAGGGUGUUCAGGAGAAAGUGGAACGAGCUCAGGAGAGAAGGACCAUACAAAGUCACCAACGCAACACCAACAGCCAUCCAAGUGGAAGGAAGUGCCACGUGGUAUCAUCUCAACCACUGCACAAAAGCCGCUCAACCUAAAGCCAGGGAUGAGUGUGAGGAGGAGGAGCCAGACGCAGACACACCUGGGGCUGACCAGCUGCCCCAGGACCAGAUCCAGUCGAGCCAAGAGAUACAGCAACAUGAUGAUGCUGAAAACGGGGAGCCUGUUCCUGAUCCCUUACGGGUUGUGCUAGAUUCCGCUGGCACAAGGACAGACCCCGAGGAGGAAUGAAACCAUGGAGACAACACAGACCUGGAAGAGCCAGGAAUCAGGGGCUGUUACUGAAGGAAGCCUAAGAGAAACACAGGACAAUCCGGCCCCAACUCACUCAGGAAUAGUCAACAAGAAAGGGAAAAUAGUCCUAUAUGCCCAGAUACCACCGCAGAACCAAGUUAAUGAAUUUGUGUUUGCUGUUAUGUCGGAUAACCAACCGUUAUGUGCAUUAACCUUCAGCCAGUCUGGCAUAGAGGAGUCGGGUGACUGGGAGAGGAUGCUCUAUGGGGAGAUAGAUUGGAGUGAAACUAGAGAGGAGACCGGAAUUUGAGAAUCAGACCCCUCCAUGUGAACCACAACCAUUUCAGACAGUGUGAACAAAUGGACAUUGGACUAAUGGGUUUCAGGGCUGGUGGCUGCAAACAGAAGCAACAACCACGAUGCCCAAACCCCCCACGUUAUAUAGUAUACCGGUACAUGACGAUAAUCAGAGCUAUUCAAAUCUAUGCAAGCUUGUUGACAAUCUUAGUUUUUAAUUUGUAUUAUGUUUCACAUUAUUGAAUGUAUGUUAUGUCAAUUUUUAAUGUAUAAUAUGGUGUCACAUAUUUUUGAAAUGCCAAUUUUCAAUGCAUGCUGAAUGAUUAUUGAUUAUUAUGCUGUUUAUGAUUAUUAUGUAGGUAUUCUAGAUACACAUUUGAUAUAGUUGCAUGAUGAAUAUAGAAUAUUGUGUUAUUAUGAUUAGAAAGGUUUUAUGAUUACAUAUGAAACAACUUGUAGGGAUUAGAGUGUUAAUAAUACACUGCAUUUGGUAAAUCUUUUUGGCCUAAAAUCAGGUUGAAAUCCCUGUCAAAGCUCUGAGGUUUUUACCGAUGACCAGAUGUGGUGUCAAUUUGGCAAGGGCUUAGUAGCAUAUAGGCUUAGCAAUAAUUCAAGUAAUUUGUUGGAACCUUAUUGGCCCCAACAAGGGGGGAUGUGUGGUAGAAAUGAAUGAUUAUAUUAUAUGGUAAACUAUGAUUAUUAUUAGGCCUGUAUAUCUAAUGGUAGAAGACAUGUAAAGCGUCUUUGAUUUUGAUCCAGGGCUGGUCACGAGGCCUGGGAGUCUUGGGUCAGAGCAGGGGUUGGGGCGCAACCCCCCAGGAGCAGUUGUCUACUGAGACAAUGCAUGGUGACUCCACUUCCUGGGUCCUAGACUAUCUCGGUGACCAUCUGUUUAGAAGUAUUUGUGUUUUAUUAUGUGUGGACACCUAGAAAAACAAGAAACUGCUGAGGACUGUGCUUUUGUGUGUUUAAGAAGAGGCUUGAAUCUGUUGGCAAGGCAGUGACUCUUAAGACCUACUCGGCUGUUAUCGUUGUUGUUUUUCUUCACGAUAAAGUCUUUUGUCAAUUCUUGCUCCGGACCCCUCGAUUUAUUUUACUCUCUCUCUCUCUUGAAUUAGUCUAAGUGUUUAUAUCUCGAUUAAUCUACUACACUAACAUAAAAACUGAGUAAACCAACGCUGAAUUGCCGUAGAAACAAUAUGGAGUUGUGUUUGUGUCCAGGUCUCCAGUCUACUAUGGAUGAGGAUGAGGAGAGAGAGGAGAGGGGUCCUACCUCUAAAACCUCUCUGUCUGGGGAACCUGGCCGCCAUAGCAAAGCUGAGAGCCCAAAGCAGCAGGAGAGAGAAGACUGCCCUGGACCCAGCUGUGUCUCCAUGAAGAGUUACAGCUCUAUGGAAUAUCCACCUGACCUUAAAGAUGAAAAUCAGUCUAUUGAGAAGAGAAGAGUCCAGCAGGAGAGAGCAGACUCCCCUGGACACAGCUGUGUCUUCUUGAAGAGCGACCACUCUAUAAAACUUCCUGUUAGUUUUAAAGAUGGACUCCCCUCCAGAGAGGAGAGGUCAAAGGUAACCAGUGCUCAGUCUGUACAGCAGAAUCAAACAGAGUUGAUCAAGG